AACGAACGCUGGCGGCAUGCCUAACACAUGCAAGUCGAACGAGACCUUCGGGUCUAGUGGUGCACUGGUGCGUAACGCGUGGGAACCUGCCCUUAGGUUCGGGAUCUCUCCCCGAAAGGGGUCCUAAUACCGGCUACUGUCUCCGGUCCAAAGUUUUAUCGCCUUUGGAUGGGCCGGCGGUGGAUUAGCUUGUGGGUAGGGUAAAAGGCUCCCCAGGCGACGAUCCAUAGCUGGGCUGAGAGGAUGAGCAGCCACACUGGGGCGGAGACACGGCCCGGACGCCUAGGGGAGGCAGGAGUGGGGAAGAUGGGACGAUGGGCGAGAGCCGGAUGCAGCAGGGCCGGGUGAGUGAUGAAGGCGUGAGGGAAGUAAAGCUCGUUUACACGGGGUGAGAAUGACGGUACCGGGAGAAUAAGCACCGGCUAACUCCGUG
rnacentral:rRNA from 1 species